AUCUUUGUAGCAGCAAUUAGUUCUGAAUAAAUCAGACGAAAAGGGAAUUGGGUGUAAAUCCCGAGCAGUCCCGCUGCUGUGAGCAGUCGUUUUUGGACAUCACAUCGUGUUGCCACUGACAUUUUUUCGGGAAGGCAAGUGUAUGUCUGGCUGCGAGUCAGAAGACCUGCCGUUGCUAUUCAUCGCUA
rfam:Prevotella timonensis CRIS 5C-B1 contig00005, whole genome shotgun sequence.